rnacentral:rRNA from 1 species
ANUGGGUNCAAACCAUUGAACUGCUUUGNAAAACUGCUUACCUAGAAUNUGGGAGAGGUAGAUNGNAUUUUCUGGUGUAGGGGUAAAAAUCCGUAGNGAUCAGAAGGAAUACCCGAUUGCGAAGGCGAUCUACUGGAACAUUAUUGACGCUGAGACGCGAAAGCCGUGGGGAGCAAACAGGAUUAGAUACCCUGGUAGUCCACGCCCUAAACCGAUGUACACUAGUUGUUGUGAGGCUAGACCUUGCAGUAAUGCAGUUAACACAUUAAGUGUACCGCCUGGGGAGUGCGGUCGCAAGAUUAAAACUCAAAGGAAUAGACGGGGACCCGCACAAGCGGUGGAGCAUGUGGUUUAAUUCGACGAUACGCGAAGAACCUUACCUGGACUUGACAUAGAAAGAAUAACGCAGAGAUGUGAUAGUGCUAGCUUGCUAGAACUUUCAUACAGGUGCUGCACGGCUGUCGUCAGCUCGUGUCGUGAGAUGUUGGGUUAAGUCCCGCAACGAGCGCAACCCUCGUCGUUAGUUGCUAACAGUUCGGCUGAGAACUCUAACGAGACUGCCUGGGUAACCAGGAGGAAGGUGAGGACGACGUCAAGUCAUCAUGGCCCUUACGUCCAGGGCUACACACGUGCUACAAUGGGGCAUACAAAGAGCAGCGAUACCGCGAGGUGGAGCAAAUCUCAAAAAUGCCUCCCAGUUCGGAUAGUAGUCUGCAACUCGACUACUUGAAGUUGGAAUCGCUAGUAAUCGUAGAUCAGCAAUGCUACGGUGAAUACGUUCCCGGGUCUUGUACUCACCGCCCGUCACACCAUGGGAGCUGAACUCAUUCGAAGCGGNGAUGCUAAAGUAGCUACCCUCCACAGUGGAUUCAGCGACCUG